rnacentral:rRNA from 1 species
GCAAGUCGAGCGGCAGCGACAUCAACAAUCCUUCGGGUGCGUUGAUGGGCGGCGAGCGGCGGACGGGUGAGUAAUGCCUGGGAACAUGCCUUAGUGUGGGGGAUAACCAUUGGAAACGAUGGCUAAUACCGCAUAAUCUCUUCGGACCAAAGCGGGGGACCUUCGGGCCUCGCGCGCUAAGAUUGGCCCAGGUGGGAUUAGCUAGUAGGUGGGGUAACGGCUCACCUAGGCGACGAUCCCUAGCUGGUCUGAGAGGAUGAUCAGCCACACUGGAACUGAGACACGGUCCAGACUCCUACGGGAGGCAGCAGUGGGGAAUAUUGCACAAUGGGGGAAACCCUGAUGCAGCCAUGCCGCGUGUGUGAAGAAGGCCUUCGGGUUGUAAAGCACUUUCAGCAGUGAGGAAGAGUUGGUGUUUAAUAGAUGCCAUCUUUGACGUUAGCUGCAGAAGAAGCACCGGCUAACUCCGUGCCAGCAGCCGCGGUAAUACGGAGGGUGCGAGCGUUAAUCGGAAUUACUGGGCGUAAAGCGCAUGCAGGCGGCGUGUUAAGCCAGAUGUGAAAGCCCGGGGCUCAACCUCGGAAUCGCAUUUGGAACUGGCAGGCUAGAGUCUUGUAGAGGGGGGUAGAAUUUCAGGUGUAGCGGUGAAAUGCGUAGAGAUCUGAAGGAAUACCGGUGGCGAAGGCGGCCCCCUGGACAAAGACUGACGCUCAGAUGCGAAAGCGUGGGGAGCAAACAGGAUUAGAUACCCUGGUAGUCCACGCCGUAAACGAUGUCUACUUGGAGGUUGGUGUCUUGAACACUGGCUUUCGGAGCUAACGCGUUAAGUAGACCGCCUGGGGAGUACGGUCGCAAGAUUAAAACUCAAAUGAAUUGACGGGGGCCCGCACAAGCGGUGGAGCAUGUGGUUUAAUUCGAUGCAACGCGAAGAACCUUACCUACUCUUGACAUCCAGAGAACUUUCCAGAGAUGGAUUGGUGCCUUCGGGAACUCUGAGACAGGUGCUGCAUGGCUGUCGUCAGCUCGUGUUGUGAAAUGUUGGGUUAAGUCCCGCAACGAGCGCAACCCUUAUCCUUGUUAGCCAGCACUUCGGGUGGGAACUCCAGGGAGACUGCCGGUG